rnacentral:pre_miRNA from 14 species
AAAAUAUUUGCUCCUACAAGAGUAAAGUGCAUGCGCUUUGGGACAGUGAGGAAAAUAAUGUUCACAAAGCCCAUACACUUUUACCCUUUGGGAGAGUUG